CACUUAUAUACAUACUAUAAGUAUAUAUAAGUAUAUAUACACGUAUAUAUACUUGUAUUAUAUAUACUAUAAGUAUAUAUACACUUAUAUAUAUACAAGUAUAUAUACACUUAUAUAUAUACUAUAAGUAUAUAUACACUUAUAUAUACUAUAAGUAUAUAUAAGUAUAUAUGCAAGUAUAUAUGUAAGUAUAUAUAAGUAUAUAUGCAAGUAUAUAUGUAAGUAUUAUUUCCAUAUAUAUAUUUCCAUAUAUAUAUUUCCAUAUAUAUAUAUUUCCAUAUAUAUAUUUCCAUAUAUAUAUAUUUCCAUAUAUAUAUAUUUCCAUAUAUAUAUAUUUCCAUAUAUAUAUAUUUCCAUAUAUAUAUUUCCAUAUAUAUAUAUU
rnacentral:lncRNA from 1 species